AAUAUGAAAAUUAAAAAAAAAAAAUUUAUCAAAUAGUCCAGAUGCCGAGAAGAGCCAUUACCACAAGUUUUUCAUUAUCAAUAAUAAUGUUAUCGUUUUUGUCGUCAUCUGUAUCAUAGCAACUAUUUGAAGCUUAGUUUUUAGAUAAGUCUCCUCUCGUCCCUGUUCCAGAAAACUGGCCUUACGAAGAAUGGAAUCAUCAAUAGAAACAGUAAACUUUGGAAAAUCUAUUAUAGUACCUAGCGUUCAAAAGCUGGCCGAAGAAUCCUUUCUCACGAUCCCACCUCGCUAUGUAAGGUUCGAUCAGGACCCUCCAACUAUUUCUGGUCAAAAGUCGUUGCUUUCGUCAGUUCCUGUCAUAGAUCUUCAAAGAUUGGCCGUUGGAGAUUCCAUGGAUUCGGAGUUGGAGAGCUUGCAGUCCGCUUGCAGAGAAUGGGGUUUCUUCCAGGUUGUGAACCACGGAGUAAGCACUGAUUUUCUGGAGGGAGUCAAGUUGGAAAUUGAGAGUUUCUUCGGACUUCCAUAUGAACAGAAGAAGAAGCUGUGGCAGAAGCCAGACAACCAUGAAGGUUUUGGGCAGCUGUUUGUGGUAUCAGAGGAGCAGAAGCUAGAUUGGUCAGACGUGUUCUACAUUACCACUCUUCCUUUCAAUCUCAGGAAGAAUGACCUUUUUGACAAACUUCCUCCAAAGCUCAGAGAUUCUUUGGAAACUUAUGCUAGUGAAAUGAAAAAGCUAGCUUUGGCAAUUCUGGGUCACAUGGCAAAAGCUUUAAAUAUGGAUGCUGAGGAAAUGAAAGAGCUAUUCAAUGAUGGUGUUCAAUCAAUGAGAAUGAAUUACUAUCCUCCAUGCCCUGAACCAGAAAAGGCCAUUGGUUUCACUCCUCAUUCUGAUGCUGUUGCUUUAACUAUCCUGUUUCAGCUCAAUGACACUGAAGGACUACAAAUCCGAAAGGAAGGGAAAUGGGUUCCUGUUAAACCACUUCCAAAUGCUUUUAUUGUCAACGUUGGAGACAUCAUGGAGGUACUAUUUAUCAGAAACUGGCUUGAAACAAGUUUUCUUUCCACUCCUUUCUGAUCAUGCUACUGUUGCGAUUCGUGUUUCAAUCUUUCUGCUGCAGAUUGUGAGCAACUGUAUUUAUCGGAGCAUCGAGCAUAGGGCAACGGUGAAUUCAACAAAGGAGAGGCUUUCCAUUGCAACAUUCUACAGUUCAAAGCUAGGCUCCGAGUUGGGCCCUGCAGCCAGCCUCAUUGGCCCUCACAAUCCAGCAAAAUUUAAGCAAGUCCCAUUGGAGAAGUACUUCAAGGAAUUUUUUGCUCGGAAAUUGAAUGGCAAGUCAUAUCUUGACUUCAUGAGAAUAGAAGAUGGAGAAAACAACACCUGAAUAUACUCGUACAAUAAGCGUGACUUUACGUUCUAUAAUAAAGAUGGGUAUUGGCAGAUUUAUUAAAAUUGAAUUCCAAUUGUGCUUGAUUCACCAUUUAGAUAGGUCUAGUCGUUUAGUUCGCAUCAAAACAUUUGCUUGUGGAGGGCCUAAGCCUGUAUUGAAUUAUUUAUCCUUCUCUAAAUAGCUGAAAGCAAAGUUGUUUUCAAGAAAACACAGCCUAAGUACACAUUUUUAUUGUUAAAUAACAGAUUCGCGAUGAUCAAGAUCCGGCUCUUAGCUUUAUUUGAUA
rnacentral:misc_RNA from 1 species